rnacentral:rRNA from 1 species
GACAGAGGGGGCAAGCGUUGCUCGGAGUCACUGGGCUUAAAGGGCGCGUAGGCGGCCGUCCAAGUCAGGGGUGAAAGCCCCCAGCUCAACUGGGGAAGGGCCUUUGAUACUGGACGGCUCGAGGGGGGUAGGGGCGGACGGAACUUCCGGUGGAGCGGUGAAAUGCGUUGAUAUAGGAAGGAACGCCGAUGGCGAAAGCGGUCCGCUGGGCCCCUUCUGACGCUGAGGCGCGAAAGCCAGGGGAGCAAACGGG